GCCGGGCUAGCUCAAUCGGUAGAGCGUGCGGCUCUUACCAAUCAUCUGGAAACCGCAAGGCUGCGGGUUCGACCCCCGCGUUCGGCU
rnacentral:tRNA from 1 species